GCGCGGACUUCGGUCUGGCGGCGAGUGGCGAACGGGUGAGUAAUACAUCGGAACGUGUCCUGUAGUGGGGGAUAGCCCGGCGAAAGCCGGAUUAAUACCGCAUACGCUCUACGGAGGAAAGGGGGGGAUCUUAGGACCUCUCGCUACAGGGGCGGCCGAUGGCAGAUUAGCUAGUUGGUGGGGUAAAGGCCUACCAAGGCGACGAUCUGUAGCUGGUCUGAGAGGACGACCAGCCACACUGGGACUGAGACACGGCCCAGACUCCUACGGGAGGCAGCAGUGGGGAAUUUUGGACAAUGGGCGCAAGCCUGAUCCAGCAAUGCCGCGUGUGUGAAGAAGGCCUUCGGGUUGUAAAGCACUUUUGUCCGGAAAGAAAUCCUUUGAGUUAAUACCUCGGGGGGAUGACGGUACCGGAAGAAUAAGCACCGGCUAACUACGUGCCAGCAGCCGCGGUAAUACGUAGGGUGCAAGCGUUAAUCGGAAUUACUGGGCGUAAAGCGUGCGCAGGCGGUUCGCUAAGACAGAUGUGAAAUCCCCGGGCUUAACCUGGGAACUGCAUUUGUGACUGGCGGGCUAGAGUAUGGCAGAGGGGGGUAGAAUUCCACGUGUAGCAGUGAAAUGCGUAGAGAUGUGGAGGAAUACCGAUGGCGAAGGCAGCCCCCUGGGCCAAUACUGACGCUCAUGCACGAAAGCGUG
rnacentral:rRNA from 1 species